CUAAUGAAGGAGCAGCAAUGCACUACUGGGAGCAAGCUGAAUACCUUAGUAAACCAAUGUCAAGAGGCAUAUUAAGGAAGCCACCAACCAGCUGAUCAACAUAGCAUAUUCCCACAGUGUCAAGGGCUCAAUAAGGCCAAAGUGUAAGCUAUACCCAACAAAACAAAGAAAGAAGAUUUUGUGUUUGAGAUAUUAAUAUCUGUAGGAACAAAUAUAUAAACAGGGAAGCAGCACCAAACAACUCCAGGCACGGAAUCUUGGGAUUGACAACUCCAA